UACGUAGGGGGCAAGCGGUUGUCCGGAUUUAUUGGGCGUAAAGAGCGGUGUAGGCGGCUUGGUAGGUCCGCUGUGAAAACGUCGAGGCUCAACCAUCGAGACGCCGGUGGAAACCAUCUGGCUAGAGUCCGGAAGAGGAGAGUGGAAUUCCUGGAUGUAGCGGUGAAAUGCGCAGAUAUCAGGAAGAACACCCGUGGCGAAGGCGGCUCUCUGGGACGGUACUGACGCUGAGACGCGAAAGCGUGGGGAGCGAACAGG
rnacentral:rRNA from 1 species